rnacentral:rRNA from 1 species
GACGAACGCUGGCGGCGUGCUUAACACAUGCAAGUCGAACGCUGAAGCUUGGUGCCUGCACUGGGUGGAUGAGUGGCGAACGGGUGAGUAUCACGUGAGUAACCUGCCCCUGACUUCGGGAUAAGCCUGGGAAACUGGGUCUAAUACCGGAUAUGACCAUCUUUCGCAUGUUGGGUGGUGGAAAGUUUUUUCGGUUGGGGAUGGGCUCGCGGCCUAUCAGUUUGUUGGUGGGGUAAUGGCCUACCAAGACGACGACGGGUAGCCGGCCUGAGAGGGCGACCGGCCACACUGGGACUGAGACACGGCCCAGACUCCUACGGGAGGCAGCAGUGGGGAAUAUUGCACAAUGGGGGAAACCCUGAUGCAGCGACGCCGCGUGGGGGAUGACGGCCUUCGGGUUGUAAACCUCUUUCAGUAGGGAAGAAGCCUUUGGGUGACGGUACCUGCAGAAGAAGUACCGGCUAACUACGUGCCAGCAGCCGCGGUAAUACGUAGGGUACAAGCGUUGUCCGGAAUUAUUGGGCGUAAAGAGCUCGUAGGUGGUUUGUCGCGUCUGCUGUGGAAUCGUGCCGCUUAACGGUGCGCGUGCAGUGGGUACCGGCAGACUGGAUUGCAUUAGGGGG